UACAGAGGGUGCAAGCGUUGUUCGGAAUCAUUGGGCGUAAAGCGCACGUAGGCGGCUUUGCAAGUCAGGUGUGAAAGCCUGGGGCUCAACCCCAGAAGUGCAUUUGAAACUGCAGAGCUUGAGUCUUGGAGAGGGUGGUGGAAUUCCGAGUGUAGAGGUGAAAUUCGUAGAUAUUCGGAGGAACACCAGUGGCGAAGGCGGCUCACUGGCCCGGAACUGACGCUGAGGUACGAAAGCGUGGGGAGCAAACAGG
rnacentral:rRNA from 1 species